rnacentral:rRNA from 1 species
AUACGGAGGGUGCAAGCGUUGUUCGGAAUUACUGGGCGUAAAGCGCGCGUAGGCGGAUUGGUCAGUUAGGGGUGAAAUCCCAGGGCUUAACCCUGGAACUGCCUCUAAUACUGCCAGUCUUGAGUUCGGGAGAGGUGAGUGGAAUUCCUAGUGUAGAGGUGAAAUUCGUAGAUAUUAGGAAGAACACCAGUGGCGAAGGCGGCUAACUGGCCCGAUACUGACGCUGAGGCGCGAAAGCGUGGGGAGCAAACAGGAUUAGAAACCCUAGUAGUCC